CACGUACUCCCUCCGUUCGGAAUUACUUGUCGUAGAAAUGGAUGUAUCUAGACGUAUUUUAGUUAUAGAUACAUUCAUUUUAUCCAUUUUCGAGACAAGUAAUUUGAAACGGAGGGAGUACGUG
rfam:Triticum aestivum genome assembly, contig: Triticum_aestivum_CS42_TGACv1_scaffold_062778_1DL